rnacentral:lncRNA from 1 species
AUUAAAUAUUUAAAUUUCAUUUUACUUAAAAUCUAUCCAGUUACAAAAUGACAAAUGUAAUGUUCUAGAGGGAUUCUUACUGUCUUCGUUUGAAAACAUGCUGCUCAUUCUGCUUUAUACUAUUCCUUUUUUUAUCAUUUUAUAAGAUAUUUUUGUUAGAACUUUACCGAUGGAAUUCCAUGCUCAAAAUUUGUAUAUGUAGUAUAUACAAAUCUAUGGUUAUAAAAUCAUAUUUUCCUAUAUCUACAGUUUAACACACCAUACUCAAAAUUAUA